CCCUUAGAUGUCCUGGGCCGCACGCGCGCUACACUGAUGCAGCCAACGAGUGUACAACCUUGGCCGGUAGGUCUGGGUAAUCUUUUGAAUCUGCAUCGUGCUGGGGAUAGACGCUUGUAAUUUUUCGUCUUCAACGAGGAAUGCCUAGUAAGCGCGAGUCAUCAGCUCGCGUUGAUUACGUCCCUGCCCUUUGUACACACCGCCCGUCGCUCCUACCGAUUGAAUGGUCCGGUGAAAACAUCAGACCGCGGCCUGUUGGGUGGCAACAUCCUCAGGCGGCGGGAAGUUGUUUAAACCUUAUCAUUUAGAGGAAGGAGAAGUCGUAACA
rnacentral:rRNA from 1 species